GUAUAAACUGAAUUAGUGCAUUAUUAAAUAAUAAAGUAUAAUUGUGUUCUAUUAUAUCAUAUACAGAGUGAUCAGUAUAUCAUAAACCACUCAAUUACUCUUAAAAUAAAUGGAAUAUUGAAAAAAAAAAAUUUCAAUUUCUUUUAGUUAUAUACAAUUUUUGAUUUAACAGCUACUAAUUACUUUUUAGAAUCAUCCAUCAUAACUUUAAGGGGUGUUAACUUUAUAUCUUUAUAUGGUUACAUACAUAUUUAAAUAACUUAGAAAAUAGAAAAUUAUGUAAUUAUGAAAAUGAUUAGUCGAUAUUAACUUUUGGUCCUAUACUUUGGAUGUUACUUUCAUUUGUAUACCUAGGCAGGACGAAGAGUAUCCAGCAAAGAGUGUCACCGACAAAACUAUUUACAGAUAAUAAAUAUAUACAUAUAUAUAUAAUCAGUACAUAAAUUUAACACUCACUCAAUCCUACCUAAUGACAUGUCUUCAUGCAUCUUACAAAACAAAUGAAAACAGCGAUAAUUAAACUUAUUCUAAAUAAGUAAGAUUUACAUAUAAUGAAAAUUCAACUCAGUGACCUAGAGAUCAUCACAACAAUAUAUAAUUUUGGUUUUCAACUUGUAUUAAAUAGCUGUAAGGGUAUCAAAUUAACUUUCAUAUUUAUAUAGUAUAACACUGCAAUUUUAAAUUCUUUAGUAAAAUAAUAGGAGCGUGGUGUGGCACGGUGGUCACACUAGUUGUUGAAAAAACUCUAGUGUUAAGCCGCGUUUACCACCGUAGGUGAACGGAUGGGUGACCAUGCGUGCACUUCUAUGGUGGCGAAAAAGUACCAUGUUCCUAGUGCAGAAGGCAAUGGGAUACCUCUGCACUUAAAUUUCCCGAGGAUAUACCAAUGGUAUUAACCAACCUAACGGUUGUAAAAAAAGAAGUAAAAUAAUGUCAUAUAAAGGGAAAAUACAGGGUAAAAUAGUUAACAAUGGUGGCAUCAAUGUAACUAUGUAACUAGAAGAAAUUAAAAAUUGUUUUUUCAAUAUUGUAUUUCUUUUGUAAGAAAUCGAGUAAUUUAUGAUUAAUCGAUCAAUGUGUAUAUAUAUAUAUAUAUAGAUUUGUAGGAGAUGAAUAGAAACACAACAGUAUUUUCUCUUUUAAAAUAUUUUAACAAAUAAAUUAUAAUAUUACUACACAUAUACAAUAUGAAUCAUACAAAUAAAAGUUAUAAAGUAUUUACAAUAACAUAUAAAUUAAAUAAGCACAAAAAUAUGUCUUAGUCGACUCGCAACUCACUGUUAAAACAAGAUAUUACCGCUACUCACCUCCAUCCUCUUGAAGUGGUACCAGAUAUAAACAGUAUCCACAAUUCGAUCCUCUUCUUGAUUUCUCGUGACUGAGUGAUAGUUUUUCAGCUCUUAUCAUUUGUAUCUACUCGUUUCCAUGUAGUCAUCACCAGAUAAUAUCCAAAUGAGACCUUUAGAUUGAUCAUUUCAUAUAUUUCAGGUCCUCUGCAUUUGGUGAUUUGGUUUGGGCCCAAAAACUAUGAAUUUUAGAAAGUGACUUGAACUGUGUUCUCAAAAUAGUAACCAAAUCAACUAAAUGGUUAAAAUUUUGUGUGGCAUGAAAACAAAAAUUAUGAUAGUAAAAAUGAUAACUGAUUGAAUUUUUUACUCAAAAACCGCAAAAAAGAAUUGCAUAAUGGAAAUUUUGAUGACCUGGAUGACUCUGCUAUACUACCUUCUACAUCUGAAACUCAAAUUACUUUUUGAUCUUUGACUGUUAUCCGUUCAAAUUCAUCAGUAGUUAGAGGUCAAUUAGAGAUGAUUGAAAAUAGUGUAGUCCAAAUACCAUAUAAAUGUUUGUAGAAUUACAAGACUAUUCGUAGCACAUUAUGGUUACUUAAUAGGGAACCAAAAAAUCUUAAAUUCUAUUCUUGAAGAAUUGUGCAAAGUUCUUUGAAGAGGCUACAAAAGCAGUAAGCAGGAAAAUAUAUGUCUGCAUCACUUGUCAUUGUACUGUCUCGAGGUUUACUAAAAUGGAAGUACUGCCAACUGGAACAUGUACAUCUCGAGUAAUCAUCGAAGUUCAACUUUAUUUAAAAGAUUCUAUACUACAGAGAAAUAACGAUCCAUUAAAAUGAAGGAGUGAACACAGUUAUAACUACCCAUACCUAAAGUUGUUGGCAAAAAUGAUAUUGUGUUGUCUUUAUACAUAUAUACCAUGCAAAAAAUAGUAGUUCCCAUUAAAAAAAAUUUAUGUUUAGAUUUUUUAAGGGAUAAAAAAAAAGCUAUUUUUUCGUUAUUCAAAUUUGAUUAUUCAAAUCAAAUUUCAUUCUUUAUAAAAAUUUUAAAUUUUCAUUAGUUUCCAAAAAAAUUAGUGUCUUAUCCUUAAUUAAUCACUCUUUAUAUUAAAAAUAAAAUCCUAGAAAUUAGCUUAGAGUAUUUAUUGAAUGAUCUUAUUGGUAAAUAAUUUUAUUAAAACUAAAGAACAUAAAAAUUAAUAUAAAAAAUUAAAGAUAAGUUAUUGUUAACACUAUCUGUUUUUUCUAUUGAGAGAUAUACAUUUUUUUUUCCACUGAUAUACUAAAUAUUUUGUCAAAUCAUCCUUUUCAACACAAAACUCCCAUAAGUUAAUAAAGUAGAUAGUUUUUAUGAGCAGAUGGCUAAGUCAAAAGUGCUAGUUUUUCAGGAGACCCAAAAAAUAAAGUAAUUUUAUGUUUGGAUUAAUGGAACUUUUAAAUUUUAUAUUGCAAUAUAACAUAACUUAAUUACCUAAAGAAACAAUAUUGAUACUACUAAAAAUCAGUAAAAAAGUGCAAAUAAAAUUGAUAAAUAAUUUUAAAAUAAUAAAAUUCAACUUGACCACUUUCUGACAAAAUCCAUCCUAAUAAUAUAUUACAUUAUAAAUUGACUUCUAAAAUU